AUAUUUUGAACCGCAUGGUUCAAAAGUGAAAGACGGUCUUGCUGUCACUUAUAGAUGGAUCCGCGCUGCAUUAGCUAGUUGGUAAGGUAACGGCUUACCAAGGCAACGAUGCAUAGCCGACCUGAGAGGGUGAUCGGCCACACUGGAACUGAGACACGGUCCAGACUCCUACGGGAGGCAGCAGUAGGGAAUCUUCCGCAAUGGGCGAAAGCCUGACGGAGCAACGCCGCGUGAGUGAUGAAGGUCUUCGGAUCGUAAAACUCUGUUAUUAGGGAAGAACAUAUGUGUAAGUAACUGUGCACAUCUUGACGGUACCUAAUCAGAAAGCCACGGCUAACUACGUGCCAGCAGCCGCGGUAAUACGUAGGUGGCAAGCGUUAUCCGGAAUUAUUGGGCGUAAAGCGCGCGUAGGCGGUUUUUUAAGUCUGAUGUGAAAGCCCACGGCUCAACCGUGGAGGGUCAUUGGAAACUGGAAAACUUGAGUGCAGAAGAGGAAAGUGGAAUUCCAUGUGUAGCGGUGAAAUGCGCAGAGAUAUGGAGGAACACCAGUGGCGAAGGCGACUUUCUGGUCUGUAACUGACGCUGAUGUGCGAAAGCGUGGGGAUCAAACAGGAUUAGAUACCCUGGUAGUCCACGCCGUAAACGAUGAGUGCUAAGUGUUAGGGGGUUUCCGCCCCUUAGUGCUGCAGCUAACGCAUUAAGCACUCCGCCUGGGGAGUACGACCGCAAGGUUGAAACUCAAAGGAAUUGACGGGGACCCGCACAAGCGGUGGAGCAUGUGGUUUAAUUCGAAGCAACGCGAAGAACCUUACCAAAUCUUGACAUCCUUUGACAACUCUAGAGAUAGAGCUUUCCCCUUCGGGGGACAAAGUGACAGGUGGUGCAUGGUUGUCGUCAGCUCGUGUCGUGAGAUGUUGGGUUAAGUCCCGCAACGAGCGCAACCCUUAAGCUUAGUUGCCAUCAUUAAGUUGGGCACUCUAAGUUGACUGCCGGUGACAAACCGGAGGAAGGUGGGGAUGACGUCAAAUCAUCAUGCCCCUUAUGAUUUGGGCUACACACGUGCUACAAUGGACAAUACAAAGGGCAGCGAAACCGUGAGGUCAAGCAAAUCCCAUAAAGUUGUUCUCAGUUCGGAUUGUAGUCUGCAACUCGACUACAUGAAGCUGGAAUCGCUAGUAAUCGUAGAUCAGCAUGCUACGGUGAAUACGUUCCCGGGUCUUGUACACACCGCCCGUCACACCACGAGAGUUUGUAACACCCGAAGCCGGUGGAGUAACCUUUUAGGAGCUAGCCGUCGAAGGUGGGACAAAUGAUUGGGGUGAAGUCGUAACAAGGUAGCCGUAUCGGAAGGUGCGGCUGGAUCACCU
rnacentral:rRNA from 1 species